UCCAAUUAGACACAUGCAUAAAAGACAUUUAAAAGGCAUAAAAAGACAAUCAGAUUUCAUAAAUGUUUAAAAAAUGAGUGAUUUUGUAUGUAAAUAAGUUAAAAGAGCCACAAAGUUCAUUCAGUUAAAAAACAUAGAAUUCAUUUGAAAUGUAUUUACAGUGUAAAAUGUAUAAAGUUCAUUUAUGUGUGAAAUUGAAAGAGAUAAAUAAGUUUGGUUUCAUUGUUUCCUUAAAAGAUGUGCACACUAUCUUGAUUUUGUUUCAGUUGUCAUUCAUGGUGUUUUUUUUGUUGUCACUGGUUUGGUUGUGACUUAAUAGCCAAUCAGAGAUCUUCUUUUGCGUAAGGGGCGGGACAAGUGGCGCACGGUGCUGUAACAGGAAGAAAAAUAGAUCUCUCUCAUGUCAGCCGUGAUCGGCGAGGAAACAUCGUGAUUUGUGGAGAACAUUCAAGUUAUAUGGAAGAUUGACUACCAGUUGAUCCAGAGUGUGACUGUUGUGAUCUGCAUCAGAUGUGGACUGAGAGAGAGCCGGUUGGAGCGUCGACCAGAGGCCCGGCGGAGUUUCUGCUGUUUCUUCAGUGUUAUCUUCAGUUUCGUUUCUUCAAUGAUAUCUUCAGCUUCGUUUCUUCAGUGAUCUGAGUUUGUUUCAUCUCAUCAUCAUCAUCUUCACAAAAGACCAUCUACUCCUCUGUGCCCUUGUGACUGCUACCACUCGUUUCCCCAUUCAUCCUAUUAACCCCCUUGGAUCCGUGAGUACUCAAAAGAAUUACUAAAAGUGCACAUUUUAUUUUCUGUUGCUCAAUUUGGAGUGAAGCGGCCCCACAGUUUCUGGCCUCACCGCUCCCCAGCUUCGAAUCAGGCCUGCAACAUGGUCAUUUGCAAAGUGAAUGUUUGAGGAGUGUGUGAGUGUGGGCCCACAAAUUUGAUUUAUGUUGGUUUUGUUGUUGUGAUAUAAAUAUAUCUGGGAUUUUGUAAAUAAUAUCUAAAAAGGU